CAGCUCAAAUUUGAAAUCUGGCCUCCCUCGGGGGUCCGAGUUGUAAUUUGUAGAGGGUGUUUCGGGCGCGAUGCCGGUUUAAGUUCCUUGGAACAGGACGUCGUAGAGGGUGAGAAUCCCGUAUGCGACCGGCGAUCAAGCCCAUGUGAAGCCCCUUCGACGAGUCGAGUUGUUUGGGAAUGCAGCUCAAAAUGGGUGGUAAAUUUCAUCUAAAGCUAAAUAUUGGCCGGAGACCGAUAGCGGACAAGUAGAGUGAUCGAAAGAUGAAAAGCACUUUGGAAAGAGAGUCAAACAGUACGUGAAAUUGUUGAAAGGGAAGCGCUUGCAAUCAGACCGGUCCGGAGGCGAUCAGCCGCUGCUCGUCAGCGGUGCACUCGCCUGCGAUCCGGCCAGCAUCGGUUUGGGCGGUGGGAUAAAAGUCCCGGGAAUGUAGCUUCUUUCGGGGAGUCUUAUAGCCCGGGUCGCAAUGCUGCCUGCCUGGACCGAGGACCGCGCUUCGGCUAGGAUGCUGGCGUAAUGGUUGCAAGCG
rnacentral:rRNA from 1 species